UUCUUCUUCAUCGGGGAGUUCCGUUGAUGAGUAAAUAGGCUAAAGAUAAAUUAUCCAAUACCACAUACAGUAUUAAUAUGCAUCUUUUAGUCAAGUUUGAGGUCAUUUUUUAGCUGAAGCCAUCUUCGAGUUAUUUCCUCGAAAUGUUUUAUCCAAAUUGCAUGUUUUCAAUUUCACAUGCAUGCUUGCAUACCUCUUAAAAGUAAGUGGUCCAACGAAAUUCUAGGUCCACUCAUGAAAUUCCUUAUGUUGCUCACAUUCCAGGGUGAUGGGGCCGUCUGUUGAUGUCUUGAGAGUACUUGUUCUCAGAUUCUUAGUCAUUAACAAGGCUGAUCGAACUUACUCCCUCAUGCUUGGUGACGCUCCAAUUCUUCUUUAUUAUUGCAGGAGCUUUUAUGUUUCAUAGAUGUCCCCUGCAAAUCAUUGUAUUAGAGAGGGCUUGUGUUCAUUUUAAUUCUAGGAACCUAUUUAUCCCACGUUUGCAAUUUUAGUUAGGUCACUAGUAUGAUGGAAUUCAAGUAUUUGACAUAGAUAGGGAUACAAGCUGUCGUUUAGAAGAAUGGUAGGUUCUAAACUUGAGCGUGAUUUAUUCUACUAUGUGUGCAACUAUGUAAUAUAUUCUUCGAACUUGAAUUAUUAUGUAUUCUUUUUCUAUUUUUGUAGUCAUAUGUUAUUAUUAUUUUUGUCAUGGAGUUUGCUCAUGACUAAGUUGACAACAGGUAAAUCAUCUGAAACAAUAUAUAGUAUAAAUAUGCACGUUAGUUCAGUUUGUGAUUGCUAAAUUAAAUCUUUGUCUUACCACACAAGAUGGCAUUUGUAUCUAUGGAAAUAUUUAAAGGCUUGAUUUUCCAAGAAUAUUCUGCUUUUGGUUAAGAUUUAUUUCAUACCUUCGGUUCACAUAUUAUAAAAUAUCCGUUGAUUAAUCCGCAGGUGCUUGGAUGUCACUCUGUGUAUAACUUACGACUUCGACAUAUAUGAAGAUUAAUCGAAGUAUGCCUUUACUCUUCUUUCUCAUGGCGCACGGAGUGAGCUGAUGCGGUGUUUGAAUGGUGAGAUGUGGUCGUGGGUUUCAGGAUCAAAGAUGGUAGUCAGAAUUAGCUGAAGAUGUGUUCCUGCAGCUGCAAGCAUAUGUAAUUAGCUUAAGAACCAUUACAAUUAAUUAACUAUUUGUACUUAUUUUUCCACCAUAUAAUGUGCUACCAUGGUCAUGUUUACUCAACCCAAAUUGCAUGUUUUGGAGUUUACAUGUGGGCUAACAUACCGUGUAAAACUGUGUGAAGCUACCAACUUAAGCAACACAAUGGGUUGUCUUAGACUCCACAUUCUUUUGACAUCCUGGAAGUUAGUCAUGUCAUCUCUAAGAUUUUCCCUCAUGCUCUCUACUAUUUUUUCUUAAUUUCUUAUUGUAUGCAGACUCAGGUUUAUGAAGUUUUGCGCCCAAAAUAAUCGCUUACAGAAUAUGAGUAUUAUUCAAAGAUAGCAGUAAAUUAUGUGCGUUAGACGAGCAAUGAGAUUUCCAAGGUCGUCAACAAGAGUUUUAUUUAUAUUGCUGAGGUGCUUACUGCAUAACAUGUACGAUAUUGUUAAAGGUACUAUUUUUGUGUUAACUGUGCAUGUAUGAUCUAUUUCUGUAGUCUCCUUUGCAUUAUUAGAACGGUACGCUUUAUAGGGUCAUUGACAAGAGUGAGUUUACAUGCAGGCUUACAUGCCAUUUAACACUGGGUGCUACCUUCUUGAAGCAAACAUAGGGGGGUUGUUUUCUUACAUUCAUAUUUUCAGUUGGAUUCCACAAUAUAUUGAUAUCCUGAAAGUUAGUAUUGUGAUCUCUAUCUUUUUACCCACGUGCUCUCUCUACUAAUUCUUCUAAAUUUGUUAUUUCAUGGAGCCUUAAAGUUUACAAAGUUUCAAGUUCGAAAUAAUUGUUUUACAAAUGGGGAGUACUGGGCACAAAUGGUACAUGAUAUGGGUGAGAACAUGGUAAUAUUUCCAAUGUCAUCUAUGGGAUUGUCAUUUAUACAACUAAAAGUGUUCAACUCUAUACGGUAUUAUCAAAAGGUAUUAUUGUUCUGAUUUCUAUUUUCUUAGGCUCCUAUGGGCUAUUAGAAAUGUAAUUAAGUUAUCCCGUGUCAUCGAUAAGAGCGAGAUUUAUAUUAUUUCAAUUGUUUAACUGUGUAAGAUAACGUGAUAUUCUCUUAUUUAUUUGUCUAUUUUUGUAGGCUUGCUCCCAGGUUUCUUCUUCACUGGGGAGUUGCGCUGACGAGUAAAUAGGCUAAAGGUAAAUUAUCCAAUACCACAUACAGUAUUAAUAGGCACCUUUGUAGUCAAGUUUGAGGUCUUUUUUCAGCUGAAGCCAUCUUCGAGUUAUUUCCUCGAAAUGUUUUAUCCAAAUUGCAUGUUUUCAAUUUCACAUGCAUGCUUGCAUAUAUACCUCUUAAAAGUAAGUGGUCCAAC
rnacentral:lncRNA from 1 species